rnacentral:sRNA from 1 species
UCUGUCGGGGCUCGCGUCUCUGCUUUGGGCUCCGUACUCCCAUAGCCUCCUUCAGGUAUGGCUCCAGCGGCCGCAGGAAAGAGUAGUUGUUUUUGGCCACGCCACUUCUGCCUUUGCAAUGUCUUCAUGGGAAUUGGCAGUUUAUUGUCCUCACCGGAAGCGGCCAGCCACCUCGGUGAGGGACCGCCCCCAUGCACUGCAAUUCCCAGCAUGCUUUUCGAACAAAUCUGAAGGCGGAGCCUAUUGUCACCCUAGCAGCGGAUCCACAUCUCGGGUUGGCUGCCUUUAGUGUGGCUUGGAAUGCGGUAUUCGGUUCAGCCACUCCUGAUGCUGAGCCUAGUCUCGUAUACCGAACACUACAGGAACUGGUUGUGUUCUAGAGAUCUUCCUGCCCCCCACUUCUCAAGUGCUGGGAUUAUAGGUUUGUGCCACCCGUCCCGCUUUAGCUCACUACAGUUCUUUAAGAUAAUGUCUUAAUCCCCGUCUCAGAAAUGAAUCAGAAAUUCAGAAAGGCUGAUCAAUCUUGUUAUCUGACUCCCCACUUCAUCGCUGGAAGAAGGAAUUGGGAGUUGAGAGAGAAGGCUCAGUCCUCAACUAAAGAAAACUUAUCUCUCUUUCCUUGGUGUGGAUGGCCUUCUUAGAGUGGUGAUGGGAAAUUUUAGAUUCCGAGCCUCUUAGACUGAAGCGGCUCUGGUCUUCAAUCUCCCUGUUACCUAGAGAGAAAAUUGUGUCUAGAGAUUAUGUCAAUGCUAGCGAGGCAGAGCAAAGAUGGAGUUACUAAGUACUUAAGCUCUACUAUGAGAUGUUCUUCCAUUAGGAAAAGCAAAACCAAAAACCUGGGAUUCUUUAAACAACAACAACAAAACAAAACAAAAAAACAAAACCACAAAGCAUUCAAUGGCCCCAGUUUCCAGAAUGAAUACAUUAUAUUUCAUAAUUUGGUAUUUUUAGGUUAAAGAACUUGGACUUCAGAAGAGCCAAAAUCUCCUGUUCUCAUCCCCUUUGGUUAUCUCGCUUCCCACAGACCACCAGGGUCACUAGGAAAUGGAGCUCGCUAAUUUAGGGUCGCUGUGACAUGGGAGAGACAUAGUCCAUGGGAGCUCAUAAUCUAACGAGAGACGGGUUUAUGGCAAACAAUUACAGUGUGGGUGCGGUCACAGAGAUGAGAAUAAAGUGCUUUGAUCACAUGAAGAAGUCAGUGCAGGGGAACGGAGGAUGACGGCACAGAAGGCAAAGCUAACCAAUCAACACGUAUCAACAGACACAUCUGUAUGUAUUUCUGUCCAAGACACAUCUGUAUGUAUUUCUGUCCAAGGGCCUGUAUUUCUGUCCAAGGGCCUAAGAAUGAAGCUCAGUUCCCAGCCCUGCAUAAACUGGGCACCAUGGAGAACCUCCAUAUUCCCGAAUAGCCUUCCCCACAAUUCCCCAAAUCCCAGCAUGGUUAGGAACUUUUAUUUAUAUUUGUUUUUAUUUUUACAGUGUUAAGGGUGGAAACUAGGCCUCUGUACAUGGUAGGCAAAUUCUGUGACACUGAGAUACCUGAUCCUCAGAUCAAGGCUGGAGAUGGGGGUGGUGUAUGUGUGUGUGUGUGUGUGUGUGUGUGUGUGUGUGUGUGUGUGUGAUAUUGACGUCCAGGAUCUUCCUCUAUUCUCCCCAUUCUUUUCUAAGAUAAGCUAAGAUCUUCAUCUCCCAGUGAUUCUGAGACUUGCUGAUUCAGUAUGACUAUCUGGUCAGCAAAUCCCAGGGAUGCCCCUGACUCCACCUCCAUAGGGAUGCACUGCUAUGCCCAACUUUUUAUGUGUGCGUUCUGGGAAGCUUGCAUAUGAAGCACUUUGCCCUGAGCGCCAUCCCCAGCCCAAGGCUAGGAUUUGUACUGAGCUCUGCCCACUGCAAGCUCUUACCUCUGCUGUUGCUGCCAAAACUAACUCACUAUUGAAGUAAUUCUGUAAUUUAAAUAAGAAUUUUCCCCAGGUACACUAUAGUAGCCCUUAUGAUUCAUCUUAACUUCUUUUUGUAAGUUGAAAAAAUAAUUGCGUGUAUGUAUGUGUGUGCGUGUAGGCAUCUGUGUGGUGUUCUGUAUGUGUGUGUGGCACAUGCAAUACAUAGUAAGUAUUCAGGCAUAUAAGCAGAACAUCCCUUGUCUCCCUCUACCUACUCCCUCCUGACUGGCUGCCUUAUUCCUUUGCCCACCUUUUUAUGUGGAUGCUGGAGAACCAAACUCAGGUUAGUGUGGUUGACACCUUUAAUCCCAGCACUCGGAAGACAGAAACAGAUCUCUGUGAGUUCUUGGCCAGUCUGGUCUACACAGUGAGUUCCAGGGCAAUCAGAGUUCUACAGUCUGACCCUGUCUCAAAGGGAAUACACAAUGAAACUGAAUAUUGGGGCUGGAGAGAUAAUAGCUCAGUGGUCAAGAAUACUUUGCUCUUGCAGGGAUCAUGUACCCACACGGUGGUUCACAACUUGACCACUGAGCUAUGUUCCCACAUGCCAAGAUGUCGUAUUUACUUUAGAAAAUAUGGAUAGCAAAAAUAAGGACAUUAGAGCUGGCCCGUUGUAGGGUAGCCAGUCCUUCCCGCUUGGGUUUGGGCCUGUUUUACCAGGCCUAAUUUUGUAAGCAUAGUUACAAAACCUCAUAGGUGAGGUUAUCAGAGGCGCUAGGGGACAUGUUGUGGUAAAUCUCCAACCCCAAUAAACCAGCGCAAAGAACACGUAAUUCAGUUAUAAUGUUUAUAAGCUGCCUGACUACAUUGGGCAGAGUCACCACUGCUCUGCUCUAUUCCCCGGCUACGAGAUCCCUUGCUACUGACAGCUCCUUCAGGCUCCAGCUCCCUCCCACCUCCUCUUCCUCCCUUCCCUCUCUUCCCUCUCUUCAUCUCCCCCUCCCUCCAUGCUCUCUCUCUCCCUGAGACUUCCGUCCCCACCUCUUCUUCACUGCCCAGUCACAGGCUCUAGCCUUUAUUUGACCAGUUAAAAUGGGGAGAAGGUUCCCUUGAAAUCACCCGAGUACUUGGUUAAAAUACAAACGGCACCACAGCAAUCCCCCAGUAGGGAGAGCCUCCUGUUGUUCAUAUUGGCUAAAUGGCCAUGUUGUCCAACUACCUUCUAAAUAUCUAUGUUUACACUCACAGGUCUGUGCUGCUCUCAGAGGUGGUCAGAGAACCACCUUCUGGAGGUGCAUUCAUAGCUAAUCAAAGGGCUAAGAAGAAGUAAUCGGGUGUGCUCAGUCAUUCAUGGACCAUCCGGGUCAACCUUCACCUGCUCUGAGGCUCAGGGAGCAUCAAACAAGUGAGGAGAUAAAAACGAAGCAAGAGGCUGGGUAGGCAGCAUUGCACCCAUGAACUUGGAGCUGUGGAACCUGUAUACAGUCAGACCAGCCAGAAUUCCAGCAUCAAUGGGGGACUGGCUCCUGAGGACCGUGGCCCUAGCUGCAGAGAUACUGGCAAUUGAAGGCUGCCUGAGCAGAGUCUCUCUUCUUUGGACAUUUGAUGCUGGUGAGCUACCCAGAUCCAAGCGAAUGAACCCACAGCCAUGUACACAUGAGCAACACAGUUGGAUUCUGUGAGUUAUUAAAAACAACAAAAAAAAAGAGGACAUGAAUUUGGCGGGGAACAUAUUAGGGUUCUCAGAGGGGAACUAGAAGAAGGUAGUAAGGGGUGGAUAUGGUCCAAAUGCACUGUAUUAUUGUAAAUAUUCUAUAUCACACAUAUAUGCGUAUAUUUAUUUUCCUAAGAGUAAAAAUCACAGCACUCAGCAGAAAGGAAAGAGAAGAGAUGGGCCUGACUCCAAAAGUGACUGUGUGAUCUGACAAGAGUCCACGCAAUAGAGAAGGGGCGUGUCCCCAUCACAGAUCCAACAUCCUGCCAGUUCUCUCUGCAGUUCUCCCUGGAGAGUAAGUAUGUGCAGUCUGUCCUGACAAAGACUGGGCCCCAAGUUGUAAGAAAAGGUUCACUUCCUGCCAAGUAAAAUAACCUUUCCCACAAAUUGAGCAACAUAAUAAAAAAGGAGAGAGAGAGAUUGCAGCCUAGAAGAGAACGCUAGGAAGAGAGGCUGGUUUCUGCAGUUAGAGGUGCUGUAGGGUCAAAAUUAAUGCUGUAUCUUAGACCAUCCUUUCAGUCUACAAUACUGCUCCUAAUUGUUAGUAUGAGCAAAAGGAAAUAAUCAGUACUGUUUUAAUAUCCAAAAGAGAAGGUUUACAGGGGUGAUGAUAGAAUACUGAAGCAAAUAUUUUAUAGUGAAGCUACCCAUUGUUUUUAUUUGUUGGUUGAUUUGUUAUAAAAUUUCAUUUCUGUAUGUGGGAGCUAAAAGCAUCCAAGUUGAAGUGAUAUCUUCAAGGCUUUUUUUCCCCUCCUGUUUUUAAUAAUUUUUCACUUUGUCUUAGUUUGAUUACUUGAACAUUGUUAAGUCAUUCUUAUUAAAAUACUAUUGGCACUGGGUGUAUCUUAGUUGGAGAGUGCUUACCUAAUAUCCACAAGACCUUGGGGGUUUAUACCUGCAUAAACAAGGAGCGGUGGCGAACACCUAAAAUCCCAGCACUCAGGAGGUAGAUGCAGGAGGAUCAAAGGUUCAAGGUUAUCCUCUGCCACAUUGGGAGUUCAGGACCAAUCUGGGAUAUAUGAGACUUUCUUUAAAAAAAAGAAAAAGUACAUCAAUAGUGUACAUGAGGCUCUGAGGCCCUGUUUUCAACACAGAUGCACACACACAUGUACACGCACACACUCAUUAUGACACUGAGAAAGGCAAUGGCUUCUACUGAAAAUAAAUUAUCUUCCAACAAUACAGUUUUUACUGCUGUGAAUGAAUUUUAUUUAUUGUCCAGCCAGCUAUGCUCUGGCAACCUUACCAUUAACUCCAGCAACCUAGAAUGUAGGAUUAUGUUAUGAGGAAGAGAGGGCAAAUUAACAAGAUGGGACUGAAUGAAAAGCUUAAAUAUUAUUUAAAUAGUCAAAACGUUUCCUGAGACUGUAACGGGAAGGGGAUCCAAGCCGAGUUCCAAGAGCGUCUCUUGCUCUCCUGCCUUGGAAGGAUGAGAUCUGAUGAGGAGUCUGGAUGGUUCCCUGACAAUCUGAGGCAAGUGGGUAGGAUGCUCACCGCCACUAUCUACUAGAGUUUCACUGGUUCCAUAGUUAGCUGGCAGUCAUCAGGCAUUAUUGUCUCUCAGUUACUUCAUUCAGAAAGUUAAAGCUGUUAGAAUAACAAGAGUGUUACAGCUUAAGCUUUUCUUAUACAAAGUCAGGCAUAGAGUUCCAACUAAAAUACUUCAGCAAAUGGCUUUCUCCCGGCUUCAUGAGCUGCUUGGCACACAGUGAUUUCAGCCUAGGCAAACGUCUGAUGAGCUGAGUGGGCCCGAUGGUUCAGGCCUGUCAUCCCAGAUCCUUGAGAGGGUAAGUCAGGAUGAUCACAGAGUGAGGGCUGGCCUGGGCUGUAGAGUGAGUUCAAGGUCAGCCUGAACAUCUUAGUGACACUCUGUGAAAAAUGAAGAAAAAAAAAAAAAGAUUAGAGCAAGUCAUUUACAGAAGAGAAGAAGUGGUCAGUAAACACUCAAAAAUGUCUUCACGCUCAUUAGAAAUGAGAUAAUAAAAAUUAGAACUAAGCCCAGGAAGAUGGCUGGCAGGCAAAAGUACUUACCACCAAACCAGGUGACCUGAGUACAAUCUUUGGAACCCACAUUGUGGAAGGAGACACCAUCCUCUGAAUUACCAGAAAGUAGUAAAAAAAUAAAAUAAAAUAAAGUAACUAAAGGAAAACAGCCUAUCUUACCACAGAUAACAGAAUUCUAUAAGUCUAACUACACCAGGUACCAUCAAGAUUCUGAGCAGGAGGGGUUGGGGAUUUA